GGAAGGGUGGCUGAGCGGUCCAAAGCAACAGAUUGCUAAUCUGUGGCCGUAUAAAAGCGGCCCGUGGGUUCAAAUCCCACCCCUUCCGCAA
rnacentral:tRNA from 1 species